ensembl:snRNA U6 U6 spliceosomal RNA
GUCCUGGCUUCUACAGCACAUAUAUUAAAGUCGGAACAAUACAGAGAUUAGCAUGGCCCCUGCACAAGGCUGACAUGCAAAUUCAUGAAGCGUUUCAUGCUUUC